rnacentral:rRNA from 1 species
GACGAACGCUGGCGGCGUGCCUAACACAUGCAAGUCGAGCGAUGAAGCCCUUCGGGGUGGAUUAGCGGCGGACGGGUGAGUAACACGUGGGUAACCUGCCUCAAAGAGGGGGAUAGCCUCCCGAAAGGGAGAUUAAUACCGCAUAACAUUAGUUUUUCGCAUGAAGAACUAAUUAAAGGAGUAAUCCGCUUUGAGAUGGACCCGCGGCGCAUUAGCUAGUUGGUGAGGUAAAGGCUCACCAAGGCGACGAUGCGUAGCCGACCUGAGAGGGUGAUCGGCCACAUUGGAACUGAGACACGGUCCAGACUCCUACGGGAGGCAGCAGUGGGGAAUAUUGCACAAUGGGCGAAAGCCUGAUGCAGCAACGCCGCGUGAGUGAUGAAGGCCUUCGGGUUGUAAAGCUCUGUCUUUGGGGACGAUAAUGACGGUACCCAAGGAGGAAGCCACGGCUAACUAUGUGCCAGCAGCCGCCGUAA